GAUGAACGCUAGCUACAGGCUUAACACAUGCAAGUCGAGGGGUAACGAGAGGAAAGCUUGCUUUCCUUGUCGACGACCGGCGCACGGGUGAGUAACGCGUAUCCAACCUGCCCCCAACUAAGGAAUAACCUUGCGAAAGUAAGACUAAUACCUUAUAAUUUCCUCAGAUGUCAUCUGACGAGGAAUAAAGAUUUAUCGGUUGUGGAUGGGGAUGCGUCUGAUUAGCUUGUUGGCGGGGUAACGGCCCACCAAGGGAACGAUCAGUAGGGGUUCUGAGAGGAAGGUCCCCCACAUUGGAACAGAGACACGGUCCAAACUCCUACGGGAGGCAGCAGUGAGGAAUAUUGGUCAAUGGGCGAAAGCCUGAACCAGCCAAGUAGCGUGCAGGAUGACGGCCCUAUGGGUUGUAAACUGCUUUUAUACAGGAAUAAAGUUAGCCACGUGUGGUUAUUUGUAGGUACUGUAUGAAUAAGGACCGGCUAAUUCCGUGCCAGCAGCCGCGGUAAGAC
rnacentral:rRNA from 1 species